GUAUUGUAGGAGACAACAAAGAAUAGGUGCACCUUCAAAAAAAAAGUCAACAAGUUGCAUACCAUUGCAGCAGAGAUGUCUGAUUUUCCCAUCUGCAUAUCUGGAAUCGCUUUAUCACUUGGUUAGUCUCAUUAGUAAGCACUGAAGACUUCUGGGUAUUGAAGACAGAUGAAUUAAAUCCUCUUUGAAUGUUCAUGAUCUAAGGUAGAUGUAUUGGAUUCUCUGGAUGUGCAUAAGGACACGAAGAUGAUAUCACCAGGCUACCUCAACUGAAUUACAGCCUUGUAAUCAAUCUCUCUGUCUGUUACUUUGUCUAUGACUACUGCAUGCAUACUGCAUAUCCAUGCUCUGUAUACAAAGAUGCACCGAAAAUAGGAGACAGAAAACAAGCAAUCCUUUGUCAAAGGAGAGUGCAUCCCAUUGGCACUAAUUACCUAUUCCAAAUAUAAAAAUAAAUGGAGAAAUAUAAAAAUGCAGCCAAGUUCAAAGUAUACUUCCAGUCAUGUUCUAAUGAAGUCAGAGUUUUGUUAUUGUGUUCAAUGGCAGCAGGAUGAAGUAUGUAUAUAAAUAUUAAUAUCAGUUUGGGGAAGAGAAGGGAGAGGAUUGCAACAUUUUGCAAAAGUCCUCCUCUUCCCUCCCUACCCGUUUUAAUUAAGAUUUUGUCAAAUUUUUGAAAUUUGAUGUUGCCUAGUUCUAUAACUGGUCAUAAAAACAACCAUUUAGAAAUACCGUAGUUAAAAUUUAGGGGGCGGGGGUGUUUGAAAUUUAACAUUCAGCAAGCUCUAAUAUAGAACUUUAAAGCUGAUUAUUUGAUACAAAUAUUCAUGAUGACUAUCAUAGCUUGUUGACUGACAGAUUGUUUUGCAAAACAAUGUGAAUUCCUGUAAAUGAUUGUAGUCUGCCAUGAGAAUUUUCUCAUGCUAAAGGGGACUAAAGAUGAAGUUCCUUGUCAUAGAGACUUGUCCCUAGUUGUCCCAAACUUUAUAUCAGGUUGUGAGGCCAGAAUCUAAACUCUGGAGUCUGUUGUGGGUCCAUUCUGGAGACAGAAGGACAGAGCAGCAGUCUGUUAAGCCUUAGAUUUUUUUUC